AAUCCCUAGAUUCGUUCCCCACGCACGCUGCCUAGGGCUCCCUCCGGUCGAUCCCACGCCGUCCCACCGCCGCCCUACACCGCCCGGGGCUACCGCUGGUCGAUCUCGGCGCCGUAUCACCGCCGCCCCAUGCCGCCAUGCCUCUACAGCGCCGCGCCAUGCUGCGCUGCCUCUGCAGGGCCGCUCCACGCCGUCCUGCCCCUUCACCGCAGCCCAACGUCGUCCUGCCUCUCCACUGCCAGCCCAACGCCUUCCUGCUCUCUCUCCGGGUGGCCGCCUACCUCCACGGCCACAUCCAACACAGUUGUCGCCUUCCUCCCUGGCCCGACCUCCCCCAUGUCCGGGUGGCGGCGAUUUGGACCAGGGCAGCGUGCGGCUGGGCAAGGGCAUCGAUGCGGUUGAGGGAAAGGAGUGCUCCGGCGGCGGGGAACGGGGGGCUCCGGCGGUGGGAAACGAGUAGAUGUUCCAGUGGACAAGGCACCUCAUGCUUUUAUUAUCCACUGGUUCUCCGGUUUGCUGUGUACUGCUGCUAGCUAGUCUGAUUGUGAGAAGCUUUAUGGCAGGGAUAUGAACUAAUUUUAUAAGUUGAGCUGUUGUGUGCAAAUUUCGUUUAUUUCCCUUGCAAAUUUUGUAGUACCAUUAUGAACUAAUCUUUUUUUUUCCAUUGGUCAUUAGUUCAUCUUUCACUAAGAGUCAUGUUUUUGGUGUUACUCUUGUUAUCCUUCUAUCCAAGAUAAGUUAUGUUUGCUCUUCCAAAAAGUUCCCUAGAUAUGUUUACUGUUUUGUGCUUAGUCUGCCAUGAUGUGUUUAGUCUGCCACCGUGUUUAGUGUCACUUUGUGCUUGAUAAGAGGAUUGUUCAAAUGUAAGAACUUUCUUUUUACAUGAGAUGACAUGGCUUCCGCCCCCUGUUUCCGCUGACUUGGUUUCUGCAGGUAGCAUAGAGUAUAACUGUUGGUAACAUUGGGUCGACGAGGAGAAGUAGCAGGAGGAAAAAUGACAAGCGCAAGUGGAAGCGGAAAAGCUAAAUGUGGUGGGGUCAUGAAGGAACAACUGAAAGCGGUAGAGUAUGAACUACAGAGAAGUAGGACCAUUGAAGAAAAUGAUAAAUGGCUGGCAGCGGCACGAGCAACAAUGACUUCUAUGCAGGAAGAUAUGGAAGCAAACCGCUUUGAGCUUUGUUAUCAACAGUUCACACACAAAAUGGAAGGAUUGGAAGUCAGAUUUAAAGAGGCAUAAGUUUGAUGCCGCGCUGAUUGAUGCACAACUUAUGAAAAGACAUGAGAGUAGAAUUAGUGAAGCUGACUGAAAGAACCUUAUUACUUACUGGAGAUCUUCGGUAUUUGAAGAAUGGCUAAAGAUACACGCCCUUUUUAAAUUCCUAGAAGGGCACCCCUUCUCCUGUCAGUGAUGUUCAAGCUGGAGAAUGUUCUCCAAUGAGAUGAAGAAUGAAGGAUUUGAUGUCAAGAGAAGGAUGCAAUGAUGUAUUGUAGAAAACAAAGCGAUGAACUUUUUCUCUCAGAUAGUGAACUAUCAUGUUUCCUCUAUUUAAUUUGUUACAUUAGUUUAUUUAUAGGAAACUUGGUUGGUCAUUAGUUCAUAACAAUUGAACUAUUUAUAUGUGAAAAUUAAUGAAUGUGUGUGACUA